rnacentral:rRNA from 1 species
AUGGAUCCAGAGCGUGUCUUUAUCGAAAAAUUGAAGAACAGGGUUCGACUUGUCACUGAAGGUGCUGUGAUAAUGGUCUGCCCAGUUCUUCUUGCCGCCUCACUGAACAAAGUCCAACUGACGACAAGCAAGGGACAUGGCUUUGUACGAGGCAGCAUCUCCCCAUUGUCUGCCUUAACUCUGGUAGCUGGUUUACUAUCGUUCCUCUGCCUCUGCAUCUGCUUAUCUUUUGGGAGAGUAACAGAAAGGUUGGCGCACAUCCUGUUUGUGGGCUCGAAGUGCCUCGUACACCUCUGUGCCCUUCUGCUGAUGCUCCUGGCCUUGGGCAUCCUACUUCUCGUCGACCGGAAACACGUCUACUACGUGCCUAUUCCCGUUGUCUCCAUAUGUAUUAUCCUUUGGCGCUGCUGGAUGAUGUACCGGUAUGACCAUGGCCGCGAUGCAGAGAUGUACACAGGCGAUGAACAAGGCAGGCUUGAAACCUCGGUCGAUUUCUCUGCCGCUGUCACUGCCCUCCUGUUUCUGGGGUUGGAAGGCCUGGCGUUGGAGGGGCAGAGCAGAAGCGCACAGAAACUGCAUGCUGCCUCGCUCGUGUUGUCCUUCGUCGCUUGCCUGUUGGGCGUGCUCUUCAUGCUGUUGGCUACGGUGCCUCCAAUGAUCACAGACGCUCGUCAAGGCAAGACCGCAUGCACCCACAUCGAGGCCAUGAACAUGUUUCUGGCCGGCUUCUUCGCCCUCAACGUGUUUUUGAUCACGUGGCCGCCGUUGGGAGAGCUGGCGUGUCUAGUGUGGAUACAGCUACUGGUUUCUCUACUCGCUUGGGUAUACGAAAAUCUUACCGCCACUGAGGAGCACACCAAAAAAGAUGUUACGCCGGCGACAAUGGAGCUAACCAAGGUCAUCUUUGCUGGCUUCCUGGCUGUAUCGGUGCCAGCCGCCAGUAACAAGUCAGUUAGCGGAUGCACCUCUGCUUUCGUGCUCAUCACCGGAACAGCUGUUAUCACUGGCCUCUUAUGGAGAGUUUUUACGCACUGGACGCCCGCGGGGAGCUCCAUGAUCAAAGCUAUUAAUUUUGCUUGUUUCUGUACCCAUCUGUACGUUUGUGCUGCUACCAUUCCGUUUGCAUUCAUGGCUUACAACGCUCUAAUGAGCUGA